UGAAAGUAGAUCUAUUUUAUCAUCUUUCUUCAACUACCAUUACUGCUACUGGUUCUUCCUUCAUCGUCUCCACGACCAUAGAACUCCAACUCCACCAUCGUUAUCAUCUUCCUCUGCGAUCUCUUCCCCACCACCGUUUACAUAAACUCAAUUAUUGAUAACAUCAUCUUCCUCCGUCAUCUUAAUCUUUUCAACCAUCACCAACAUCGAAUUCAUCAUGUUUCUCCAACAACACCAUCGUAGACACUGAUAACACCACCAUCAAGAUUGGUAUUUUCAGAUGCCCUAAAUUUUUCAAAUUAAUUUUUUUCGGGAUUUUCUUUAAAUCAAUUUCAGAAGAUAAGUGACGAAGAAUAUUCUCAAUUCUCCAACCUGACUACUCCACUUGCUCGAUAUGCAUUGUAAAAGUUAGAACUCAGCCUAUGACUUUUUCAAUCUCACUUUAGCCUCAGGCGACUUUGGAAGUGUAUGCAUCAACUUUAUAUCCCCACAAGCUUCAUGGAGAUUCCACAGGGAACACCAUUUUAAGCAACAAUAUUUUUCUGGUCGAAGCCUAUGCCGAGUAAUAUAUGCACCAUUUCAGGGUGUGGAACCUCUGCAGAGACAUUUCAGGAGCUCCUCCCCCCUAAUGAGGUAGCAGUCAUGUUCAUUCCACCUCAGGAUGGGAGACAGCCACCACAUGAUAUGACCGUUAUACCGAUCUGCUGGUGGUGGUGGUUUUAAAUGAAGACAAAGGAACUGCGAAAAACUCGUAGUUUCACAUUCAAAUGUCCAUUCAGACAGUCCAGUAACUGGAAGCUUUGCGGAUGUACAAAUUCAUAUCAACAGGAUGUAACCUUUACAGGGAGAGGUAUACUACUAGAUUGAUAAGAAAACAAUACCAUAUUUUCCAUUAUGUUUUCUGAUUCCAGUACUGAAUAUUAAUUAUUGUUUGCAAUAAAAAAAUAA